rnacentral:siRNA from 1 species
AGGGGAAUUCAGUCGUCUGUUGGC